CGAGUCGGCUGGACAGUCGCGGGGGCUUAGGCCUUCGAGGAAAGUCCGGGCUCCAUAGGGCAGAGUGCCAGGUAACGCCUGGGGGGCGCGAGCCCACGGAAAGUGCCACAGAAAUGAUACCGCCGAAGUACCUCGGUACUGGUAAGGGUGAAAUGGUGCGGUAAGAGCGCACCGCGCUUCUGGCAACAGAAGUGGCAGGGUAAACCCCACUCGGAGCAAGACCAAAUAGGGGAGCACUGGCGCGGCCCGCGCUGCUCCCGGGUAGGUUGCUUGAGGUGUACGGCGACGUGCAUCCCAGAUGAAUGACUGUCCACGACAGAACCCGGCUUACAGGCUGACUCGUUAA
rnacentral:RNase_P_RNA from 1 species